CUCACAUCCACUUUUACAACCAGAGACUGAAGACCAGACUGGAGACUCUUCUGAUCCUGAGACUGGUGACAUGGAAUAAUGUUUGUGCAUUUACACUACUGCUC